rnacentral:rRNA from 1 species
AGUCAACCUAACCUAUGGACGGGAAUAACCUCGGGAAACUGAGAAUAAUGCCCGAUAGAACAUUAUGCCUGGAAUGGUUUAUGUUCCAAAUGAUUUAUCGCCGUAGGAUGGGACUGCGGCCUAUCAGUUUGUUGGUGAGGUAAUGGCCCACCAAGACUAUUACAGGUACGGGCUCUGAGAGGAGUAGCCCGGAGAUGGGUACUGAGACACGGACCCAGGCCCUAUGGGGCGCAGCAGGCGAGAAAACUUUGCAAUGUGCGAAAGCACGACAAGGUUAAUCCGAGUGGUUUCUGCUAAAGAAACCUUUUGUCAGUCCUAGAAACACUGAUGAAUAAGGGGUGGGCAAGUUCUGGUGUCAGCCGCCGCGGUAAAACCAGCACCUCAAGUGGUCAGGAUGAUUAUUGGGCCUAAAGCAUCCGUAGCCGGCUCUGUAAGUUUUCGGUUAAAUCUGUACGCUCAACGUACAGGCUGCCGGGAAUACUGCAGAGCUAGGGAGUGGGAGAGGUAGACGGUACUCGGUAGGAAGGGGUAAAAUCCUUUGAUCUAUUGAUGACCACCUGUGGCGAAGGCGGUCUACCAGAACACGUCCGACGGUGAGGGAUGAAAGCUGGGGGAGCAAACCGGAUUAGACACCCGGGUAGUCCCAGCUGUAAACUAUGCAAACUCAGUGAUGCAUUGGCUUGUGGCCAAUGCAGUGCUGCAGGGAAGCCGUUAAGUUUGCCGCCUGGGAAGUACGUACGCAAGUAUGAAACUUA